rnacentral:rRNA from 1 species
GACGAACGCUGGCGGCGUGCUUAACACAUGCAAGUCGAACGGAAAGGCCCUGCUUUUGUGCGGUGCUCGAUUGGCGAACGGGUGAGUAACACGUGAGUAACCUGCCCUUGUCUUUGGGAUAACAUCACGAAACUGGGGCUAAUACCGGAUAGGAUCUCCUGCUGCAUGGGGGGGGUUGGAAAGUUUCGGCUGUUGGGGAUGGACUCGCGGCUUAUCAGCUUGUUGGGCGGGUAGUGGCUUACCAAGGCUUUGACGGGUAGCCGGCCUGAGAGGGGGAUCGGCGGCCCUGGAACUUGGACACGGUCCAUGGGCCUACGGGAGGCACCAGUAGGCAAUCUGAGGCAACAGGGGAGAGCCUGACGGAACGGGGGGGAGUGAGUGAUGAAGGCCUUCGGUUCGGAAAGCCCGGCUUUGGGGUAAAAACAGAUUUGGCCUUUGACGAACCCGUAGUGACGGUAACUGGUAAAGAAGCAACGGCUAACUACGUG